rnacentral:lncRNA from 1 species
AAAGGGGUAUGCCUUUAAUUUUCUUUCCUUGACCAUUUCUAUUUAACUUGAAUUGGCAGAUUACACCACUCUCAUAAAAUUAGUGAAGAGUGUGCCCCAUUUUCUGGUCUCUGGAGGAGUUACUGUGAGAGUAAAAUUAACUGUUCUUUACAUGCUAUAACUCUCCUGUGAAAUUCUCUGAGCUGGUUUUUGUUUUAGCUUUUCUUUUUUUGGUUGAGGAGGGGGAGGUUUAACCUACUGAUUCAAGAUGAGAAGAUAAGAUUCAGAUUUUCCUUUUCUCCUUAAUUCUGUGUGAGCAUGUUCAUUUUUCUUGAUGAUUUGCUGUUUUCAUGAAACCUUUUGCAAUAGUGUCCUAAAUGCCCCUCUGCUUCUGCUCUGAACCCUACAAUCAAUUCUUAAUACAGAGCUGGAGUGUUUACUUAAAACAUGUAAAAGAUGAUGCCACUACUUUUGCCCCAGAAUCUCUCAUGGUUUCUCACAGUAUUUAUAGUAAGUAAAUUGGCCUGGGAAAUGGCCCCUUCUGGAAUCCAUGUAUUGUUUGGCUAACCUCCUUCUAAUCACUCCCUUGGCUGAUUCUGCAGCAAUCAUCCUGGCCUCCUUUCUGUUCAAUAAAAACUCCAAGAUGCUCCUCCUUCAGGUUACCUGCCCUUCUGGUGCUUCUGCCUAGAAGAUUUCUCUCCCAGGUAAACAUGGUAAUUGCUUUCUCGUGUCCUUUAAGUCUAGUCUCAGAUGACCCACCCUCUGAGAAACCUUCCUGACUAUCCUCUUUAUUCAAACUUAGUUUUCCAUUUCCAAUUUCUCUCCUUCUCCAAUCUGCAUUUUACUUAUCAUCCUUAAUGACAGUAAGCAAACAUGUAUCUGUAUCUGUUUGUCUGUUUGCAAAUUCUGGAGCAUAACUUCCAUAAUGACAGACAUUAUUGUCUGUUUGGUUCACUAGUAUAUUCCUAAAGUGUCCGUAACAUAAUAGACAUACUCAGUAAAUAUUUACUGAAUAAGUAUCAUGUUAGGAUUAUCCCAGGAAUUCAAGGUUGUCUCAGUGGUUACAACAAUCCAUAAAUGUAAUUCAUUAUAUUAACCAAUUAAAGGAGCUAAAUCAUAUAAUUACCACAAUAAAAUCAGAAAUGGCGUAAAAAUGUUUGAUGAAACAAUUAAACAUCAUCCACAUUAAAAGAAAUCUUAUCAAAUCAGGACAGGAUACAUCAUAUUUAUGUACCAAACACUAAAAUUGAUAGCAAUACCAAUUUUUCCAAAAUUUACCUGACAUUUAACUGAAUUAAUUACUUUCCUGUCAAAAUCUUAGCAUAAUUCUUCUUAAAACUCAACAAAAUAAUUCGAAAAUGUACACAGAAUACAAAAGAGCCAAAUGGUCAAGUUACUUCCAAAGACGAAAAAGGAAGUAGUGGGAAUUUUAAAACAAGUUUGGAGACUUAUUUUAAGGCUGCAGUAAUAAAUCCAUGUAGCAUAAGAUAUGAAAAGAGAUAAACCAAUGGAAUAAAAUAGAGAAAAAAAACUGUUUCAGUGGAUUUUGAUAACUGAUAGAGAUGUCACUGCAAGUUGCUAAGUGGAUGACAUAAUUUAGUCAAUGACAUUAGGGCAAUUGCUGCAUUUUAUAUAUAUAUAUAUAUACGUAUACACACACACACACAUAUAUAUAACAGUUUUAUAUACAUAUACACACACACACACACACUUUAUGCGUUCAUCAGUUAGUGGGCACUUAGGUUGCUUCCGUAUCUCAGCAAGUGUAAAUAAUGUUACUAUGAACAUUGUGGGGGGGUACAUUGAGUUUUCAUUUUCUUCAGAUAAAUAUUCAAGAGUGGAAUUGGUAGAUGGUAUGGUAGCUCUAUGGUUAACUAUUUUGAGGAAACUCUACACUGUUUUCCACAGUAGUUACACCUCCAUCAACAGUACACAGGGAUCCCUUUUCUAUGAUCCCUCGCCAGUACCUAUUUCUUGUCUUUUCGCCAUAGCCAUCAUGACAGACAUGAGGUGAUACCUCAUUGUGGUUUUAAUGUGUAUUUCCCUGGUGAUUAGUGAUUUUGAGCAUCUUUUUCAUAUGCCUGUUGGCCAUCUGUAUGUCUUCUCUGCUGUUGGGUAUCUGUAUGUCUUCUCUGGAAAAAUGCCUAUUCAGGUCCUUGGCCCAUUUUUUAAUUGAGUUGUGUGCUUUACUGACAUUGAAUUGUAUGAUUUUUUUGUAUAUUUUGGAUAUUAACCCCAUAUUAGACGUAUCUUUUGUAAAUAUCUUCCAUUAGUAGGUUGCAUUUUCAUUUCAUUGAUGGUUUCCUUCACUGUGUAAAAUCUUUUAGUUUGGUUAUGUCCCGUUUAUUUAUUUUUGCAUUUGCUUCCCUUUCACAUCAAAAAAAAAAAAAAAAAAAAAAAGGUAUUGCUAAGCCUAUUGUCAAAGAAUGUACUUCCAGGAGUUCCCUUCAUGGCACAGUGGAAACAAAUCUGACUAGAAUCCAUGAGGAUGAGGGUUCAAUCCCUGGACUCACUUAGUGGGUCAGGGAUCCAGCAUUCCUGUGAACAAACGUGGCUCAGAUCCCACUGUUGCUGUGGCUAUGGCAUAGGCCAGCAGCUGUAGCUCCAAUUCGACCCCUAGCCUGGGAGCUUCCAUAUACCACAGGUGCAGCCCAGAAAAGCAAACAAAAAAGAACGCAUUUCCAUGUUUUCUUCUAGGAGGUUUAUGUUUUGGGACUUACAUUUAAGUCUCUAAUCCAUUUUAGUUUAUUUUCAUACAUGGCAUGAGAAAAUGGUCUAGUUUAAUUAUUUUACAGUUUCCCAACACCACUUAUGGAAGAGGCUAUCUUUUCCCCAAACUGUAUUCUGGCCUUGUCAUAAAUUAAUUGACCAUAUGUGCUAGGGUUUAUUUCUGAACUCACUAUUCUGUUCCUUGUUCUCUGUGUUUGUGCCAUUGUUAUGCCAUUGUGAUUGCUACAACUUUGUCGUAUAGUUGAAAUCAGGGAGCCUGAUACAUCCAGCUUUGUUUUUUCUCAAGAUUAUUUUGGCUAUUCAGAAUUAUUUGUGCUUCCAUACAAAUUUUAGGAUUACUCACUCUAGUUCUGUGAAACAAUGCCACUGCUGUUUUGACAGGGAAGGAUUGCAUUAAAUCUAUACAUUGCUUUGGGUGGUACAGAUGUUUUAACAACUUUAAUCUUCCAAUCUAUGAAGACAAAAUAUCUUUACAAUUAUGUGUGUUACCUUCAAUUUUCUUUCAUCAAUGUCAUAUGUUCAGAGUAUAGGUCUUCACCCCCUUGGAUAAAUUUAUACCUAAGUAUUUAAUUCUUAUUAAUGUGAUUAUAAACAGAAUUAUUUUCUUGAUUUCUCUUCCCGAUAAUUCAUUAUCAGUACAUGGAAAUACAAUAGAUUUGUGUAUAUUAUUCUUAUAUCCUGCAACUUUACUGAAUUCAUUUACUUAGUUUUUUGGCGGAGUAUUUAGGUUUUCUGUACAUAGUGUCAUGCCAUAUGCAAAUAGUGAGAGUUUUAUUUCUUCCCUUCAAAUCUGGAUAUAUUUCACGUCUUUUUCUUGUCAAUUGCUAUGGAUCAGAUGUCCAAAACCAUGUUGAAUCAAAGCAGUGAGAGUGGGUAUCCUUGGUUGUUCCUGAUCUUACAGGACAUGCUUCCAGCUUUUGACCUUUGAGUAUGAUGUUGGCUGUAGGUUUGUCAUAUGUUUCCUUAAUUGCGUUGAGGUACAUUAUCCCUACACCACUUGAUUGAAAGUUUUUAUCACAAACGGGUGUUAAAUUUUGUCAAAAGCUUUUUCUAUGGGGUUCUCUUGCCAUGCAGCAGGUUAAGGAUCCAUCAUUGUUACUGCAA